rnacentral:rRNA from 1 species
AGUGAACGCUGGCGGUAGGCCUAACACAUGCAAGUCGAACGGCAGCACAGUAAGAGCUUGCUCUUACGGGUGGCGAGUGGCGGACGGGUGAGGAAUACAUCGGAAUCUACUUUUUCGUGGGGGAUAACGUAGGGAAACUUACGCUAAUACCGCAUACGACCUACGGGUGAAAGCAGGGGAUCUUCGGACUUUGCGCGAUGGAAUGAGCCGAUGUCGGAUUAGCUAGUUGGCGGGGUAAAGGCCCACCAAGGCGACGAUCCGUAGCUGGUCUGAGAGGAUGAUCAGCCACACUGGAACUGAGACACGGUCCAGACUCCUACGGGAGGCAGCAGUGGGGAAUAUUGGACAAUGGGCGCAAGCCUGAUCCAGCCAUACCGCGUGGGUGAAGAAGGCCUUCGGGUUGUAAAGCCCUUUUGUUGGGAAAGAAAAGCAGCAGGUUAAUACCCCGCUGUUCUGACGGUACCCAAAGAAUAAGCACCGGCUAACUUCGUG